rnacentral:lncRNA from 1 species
GCUGGUAUACGAGCAGCAGGCGGUCAAGGAUGCGGAGGCAGAGUCUGAGGUCCUGAGAAAAAAGCUCCGAGAGGCAGAGAACAAAAGCCAACGAUUUCAUCGAAGGUAUCUGGAGUUGCUAAUGAGGGAGAAAGAAUUGGAAGAAGAAGUCAAAAUCUUAAGGCACUCCCUGAUGAGGGUCGAAGCCAAAAGUUCGAAGUCGGAAGAAGCUGGG